rnacentral:rRNA from 1 species
UACGGAGGGUGCAAGCGUUGUUCGGAAUUACUGGGCGUAAAGCGCGUGUAGGCGGCUCCUUAAGUCUGAUGUGAAAGCCCGGGGCUCACCCCCGGAAGUGCAUUGGAAACUGGGGAGCUAGAGUACCGGAGAGGAGGGUGGAAUUCCUGGUGUAGCGGUGAAAUGCGUAGAUAUCAUAAAGAACACCGAUUGCGAAGGCAGCUUACUAGGCUGUAACUGACGCUGAGGCACGAAAGUGUGGGGAUCAAACAGG